rnacentral:rRNA from 1 species
GACGAACGCUGGCGGCGUGCCUAAUACAUGCAAGUAGAACGCUGAAGGAGGAGCUUGCUUCUCUGGAUGAGUUGCGAACGGGUGAGUAACGCGUAGGUAACCUGCCUGGUAGCGGGGGAUAACUAUUGGAAACGAUAGCUAAUACCGCAUAAUAUUGACUAUUGCAUGAUAGUCAGUUGAAAGGUGCAACUGCACCACUACCAGAUGGACCUGCGUUAUAUUAGCUAGUUGGUGGGGUAACGGCUCACCAAGGCGACGAUACAUAGCCGACCUGAGAGGGUGAUCGGCCACACUGGGACUGAGACACGGCCCAGACUCCUACGGGAGGCAGCAGUAGGGAAUCUUCGGCAAUGGACGGAAGUCUGACCGAGCAACGCCGCGUGAGUGAAGAAGGUUGUCGGAUCGUAAAGCUCUGUUGUAAGAGAAGAACGAGUGUGAGAGUGGAAAGCUCACACUGUGACGGUAUCUUACCAGAAAGGGACGGCUAACUACGUG